UACGUAGGGGGCAAGCGUUGUCCGGAUUUAUUGGGCGUAAAGCGCGUGUAGGCGGCCACACAGGUCCGCUGUGAAAACUCGAGGCUCAACCUCGAGCUGUCGGUGGAAACCGUGUGGCUAGAGUCCGGAAGAGGAGACUGGAAUUCCCGGUGUAGCGGCGGAAUGCGCAGAUAUCGGGAGGAACACCCGUGGCGAAGGCGGGUCUCUGGGACGGUACUGACGCUGAGACGCGAAAGCGUGGGGAGCGAACAGG
rnacentral:rRNA from 1 species